GUUUGGUUAUUUUGGCUGGACAAGAAGCCCUCGCCCAGCGUCUCCCUAUGGAGACAGAGGAUGUUUCGGGGUGCGGAUGACUGGUGGGCUUCAACCACCAACCGUCAAGUUACCAGCUGAGCUCUUUAACCACAGUCCCAGGACUCCCUCAAAAACUAAUAGGGGUAACCUGGACGCUGCUCAUCAGACCGCAGGGUUCCAGAUUGUGUGCUACGCAGAACAUCGGGCCAUGUGUCAGCUUUGCCGCUUCUUGCCUUUGACAUCUCAGAUGAACUGAACCACAUGAAUAACUGAACAGAGCAGAUGGGAUAAUGAGAACGAAUGGAACUGUGUGCUGGCUUGAAAUGCCCUCCGGUUUGAAGAGGCCAAAAUUUCAUUCCUUUGAGGUUGACAGAGAAGAAAUGGUCGCCAGGGACCCGUUUGACCAUGGCCACAGCACUGAACAGAAAAAGCCUGUUCAGUGCUCUUGAGGAAAGCCGAACUCAGUGACUGAGCGUUUACAAUGUCAGAUUCCAAGAAAACUGAAGAGCUCUGUCUGUAUCUUUGCCGUCCAAGGAUGGAUUGUCAAGAUGACGCAGCACAGAGGCAGGCGCGCAGGAUGUGCUACUUGUUGGCUUUUCAAAAAUGGAGAUGGGGCCUUUUGCUGAACUUUUUUUUUUAAAUAAAGGUUUCGUUCUGGAAUAA